rnacentral:rRNA from 1 species
GACGGAGGAUGCAAGUGUUAUCCGGAAUCACUGGGCGUAAAGCGUCUGUAGGUGGUUUAAAAAGUCCACUGUUAAAAAUUGAAGCUUAACUUCAAAGAUGCCGUGGAAACUUUUAAACUUGAGUAUGGUAGGGGUAGAGGGAAUUUCCAGUGGAGCGGUGAAAUGCGUAGAGAUCGGGAGGAACACCAGUGGCGAAGGCGGCCUUCUGGACCAGUACUGACGCUCAUGCACGAAAGCGUGGGGAGCAAACAGG